GGACAGGUGGCCGAGUGGUUUAAGGCAACGGUCUUGAAAACCGUCGUGCGGGGAACCGCACCGUGGGUUCGAAUCCCACCCUGUCCGCCA
rnacentral:tRNA from 1 species